GAGAGGGUGGGCAAGGUCUGUGAAGGGAACAUUUUCUUAGAUUUCACUGAGGAAAUUGAGGAGGGAAGAGGGGGAGAGUCUUUCUAAUGCCACCCCUUGGUCUUUGGGGUAAGGGAACUUCUUAUUCUUUCCCUCUUCUCUCAUUACAAGGACAAAAAGGAAAAAAAGAAAAAAAAAAAGGAAAAAAAAAAAAAGAAAAGAAACCAAACAAAUUAAGAGAGCGAUCUGCAAUCCAGAACACACGGCAGCCUGUCAGAUGCCUCUGACAGCGGCCACCAAGAAGGCGUUCCUUUCAUUUGCCCCCCGUAUCGCCCUGUCACCUUAUCUUCAUGAAUGGAAGACGCCGGAACGUCACUUCAAGCCUUGCCAGCAGGGUUUCAUGUUUUGAUGGGAACACCCCCAAUUCCUUUUUGCAUAUAAACUCUCUGUACCAGCAUCUCUCUGUGGAGUUUGAGCCUCAAGGCACUACGCUGUCUUAGUAGUGGUGGGGUGAACCAUCAAGUUGGCCGCUCAGGUUGGACCAUCACUUGACAUUAAGAGACUUCUCCAAUGCUACAUUGGUUUAGAAAUCUUGGACCUGGGAAAGCUCGUGAGAAUUUCUGGUUAUUUCCUAAGGGCUUGGGGGGGAACUUGACAGCUGGCAAGGGCAGCUAAUCUCAUUGGUGGUUAUUUCAGUACUUUACGUCCCUCCCCACCUGGAACAAGGAAACCUGGAGGGUGGCUCUGCAGGGAAAUUAAGCCGAAAACAAACCAAAAAGAAGUUAAUGGAACUUUUUUCAAAUCUCUUCUUAAAGGUUCUGAUUUUUGUGUUCCAGGGUGAAAGUUGGUUCGUAUUUUCUCCAAGCUGGUCUGUCCCUUGUUCCACUGAUUGGCAAAUGAUAGUUUGCCAAAAUCAUUAUCUAGUGUUGAUACUGUGUAGCACUGUUAACACUGGGAGUGCUCUGCAAAUAUUAACUGUGCCACAAACCACUCAAAUGAAUGCUCUAGGGCAACCAGAAAAGAAGAACUGGAAAUUCUGGACUGAACCACUGGUCUAACUACAGGAGUCUGGUGUUUUGCCUUCUCCCACAAUAAAUUAGGCCACGUGUCCAUCAGGUUAUUCCUUUCUCUAUAAGUGAUCUUUUCUGGUUGCUUUGUUUAUUUUAGUUCUGACAGGUCAACAAAUUUUGGAACAGAGGUG
ensembl:lncRNA